rnacentral:rRNA from 1 species
AUUGAACGCUGGCGGCAGGCCUAACACAUGCAAGUCGAGCGAGCGGCGGACGGGUGAGUAAUGUCUGGGAAACUGCCUGAUGGAGGGGGAUAACUACUGGAAACGGUAGCUACUACUGCCUACCAUCAGAUGUGCCCAGAUGGGAUUAGUUAGUAGGUUGGGUAAUGGCUCACCGAGGCGACGAUCCCUAGCGGGUCUAUGAGGAUGACCAGCCAGACUGGAACUGAGACACGGUCCAUACUCCUACGGUAGGCAGCAGGGGUGAAUAUUGCACAAUGGGCGCAAGCCGGAUGCAGCCAUGCCGCGUGUGUGAAGAAGGCCGUCGGGUUGUAAAGCACUUUCAGCGAGGAGGCGUUACUCGCAGAAGAAGCACCGGCUAACUCCGUGCCAGCAGCCGCGGUAAUUC